GUGCUCGCUUCGGCAGCACCUAUACUAAACUCGGAAGGACACAGAGAAGAAUAGCAUGGCCCCUGCCCCGAGGAUAACACGCAAAUUCGUUAAGAAGUUUCUAUUUUG
rnacentral:snRNA from 1 species